rnacentral:rRNA from 1 species
AACGAACGCUGGCGGCAUGCCUAACACAUGCAAGUCGAACGAGACCUUCGGGUCUAGUGGCGCACGGGUGCGUAAUGCGUGGGAACCUGCCCUUAGGUUCGGAAUAACUCCCCGAAAGGGGUGCUAAUACCGGAUAAUGUCUUCGGACCAAAGAUUUAUCGCCUUUGGGUGGGCCCGCGUUGGAUUAGCUAGUUGGUAGGGUAAAAGCCUACCAAGGCGACGAUCCAUAGCUGGUCUGAGAGGAUGAUCAGCCACACUGGGACUGAGACACGGCCCAGACUCCUACGGGAGGCAGCAGUGGGGAAUAUUGGACAAUGGGCGAAAGCCUGAUCCAGCAAUGCCGCGUGAGUGAUGAAGGCCUUAGGGUUGUAAAGCUCUUUUACCCGGGAUGAUAAUGACAGUACCGGGAGAAUAAGCUCCGGCUAACUCCGUG